CCCAUCCAAAAUAUUGUCAAAUAGGGAUACCAAGAUUAACCGGUUUUACGGUUACCACGAUUAUAAAAGGACACGAUAGGUUAACCUUAAGAGUUUUAAAAGCUAUGGUUUACCGCUCCAAUCUCACUGAUAGUUGAGCAAAGCAGAAGGACGUGCCACCCAAAAACAAUGGAGGUCAGCAGUGUAGGACCAUUUUGAGUGUCUUAAAGACGACCAAGGUGCAAGGCCUGUGCUAGGAAUGUUGCAGCAAUACGUUGAAUAUAAAACAUCUUCGAGAUAAUACUUUGCAAAUCACAUUUUGUUUUUUGCCGUAUCGUCCAGGCUGAUUUUGUAAUGUUGUGAAGUUAACUGGAAGCAUUUUCUUCCAAUUGUUGCUUUCCCCAGGACUGGAUUUCUCAUAAGAAGAGCUCGCUCCACAAUGAGAACUGCAAGUCUUUCCGCGUCAGGUAUCCGGACUGGGAUGGGAAAGCAUUACCCGUCACUAGCUACACUCCUUCCAGUACUUCAUCGCUCAGCCCCCCAAGUCACAACGUCCCGGAGCAGACAGACAAGAGCAGGUCCCAGUCUCCACACAGAGGAAAAAAGAAAGACAGAAAAAGAUCCCGCUCGGCCUCUCCCUCCUCCUCUCGCCGGCCGUGCUCUCGCUCUAGAUGUCAUG
rnacentral:lncRNA from 1 species